AUGAUAACUUCAUAAAUUAAAAUUCGAAAAUAGAAAAGUUUUUGGUUUGGUGUUUUGGAUGUUCGAGCGAUUGGGCCAAACAGGCAGCAAGAAGUUAAACGGAGAAAAAUACCAACCCAAAAAAGUAUGCACCAGCCCAACCAUUUUCCCUUUUCUCUAUCAUGACAGCCCGCAUUUCACUUUCCAGUUCCAAAAGAACACAUCAAAUUGUUGAACAACGAAACUAUUCCUAUUUUUAAAGAAGGUUUCCCCUGAAUAUCAAUUUUCUUCGCUUGGAUUCUGUCCAGAGUCACUCAUUCGAGAUGGGGUCUGUCAAUGCAGAAAUUGAACAGGUGUUUGAAGAGAAAAAGCGUGUUAGGAACCCUCUUGUUCCUAUUGUUUCAAACAGGGAAAUUCUCAUUUGGGCCAGAAACUAAUGAGAGCUCAUGUGGUCGUCCAAGGGGCUACAAUUGCUCUAGUGGUUGGGACAACUUAUUACUAUGGUGAAAAUUUUUGAGGAUCCUCAAUGAAUGGGCUGAUGAAUGAGCUUUGUGUCAUUCCUCUUCUCCUCAUUACAGAUAACACAUUCCUUGAUCUUCUUCUCCCUAACAUUCCUAGUUCUUUUUAGGGAAGAAGGGAUGAUUUCUAUCUCGCUUGUUGUAUGCUAUAUGAACCAUUAGGAGCCCUGAACUUAAAUUUUAUGCUGAAAAGAUCAUUAUCAAGAUUGAAUUUAUAUAGGACUAACCAACAACCAUGUUGUGGACUUGCUGAUUUACGUAACUGGGAAUGUUGAAGUUGGUAUGUUCCGUUACUCCCUAUAUAU